rnacentral:lncRNA from 1 species
GAGGAGUUCCUGCUGUGGCGCAGUAGGUUAAGGAUCUGGGGCUGCCACAGCUGUGGCAUAGGUCACAACUGCCCGAGAGAAGGGUCGAUUUCUCAGUUUUCUGGGCAAUGGUUGUAGCUACAUCUGGAGACCAGGGCUGCUCUGUCUGUGCCGUCUGGCUUUUUGCCUCUGGCUUCUCCCUGCAGACCCAGGCUGGCCGCCUGUCUAGUACCCAUGGCUUCCAUCUUCUGUCUUUCUCACAGUCCAAUUCUCCAGGCUCUGGAGGUUUCUUUUGUCCCACCUCCACUGUGCUGUCCUGUGUCGUGUAACCCCAAGGCUCUGCCAGGCAGUUGAAGCUGAUCCCAUUGACUAAUUCAGAGUAAAAUGGUGAAGAAGAUGAGUGGCACUAUUUAUUGCCUUUUCGUAAACAUUUGUAUUGUAAAGCUUUAGAUCCUUUAAAAAAGAGUGGGAAAAGAAGGGGGGGACAUGAUAAUAGGGGAAGGGAAUUAAGAGGUAUAAACGAGGAGGUCACACUACUGGGUAUAAAACAAGAUACAAGGAAAUAAUGUGGUGUGGCCCAUAAGGCGUAUAGCCGACAUUGUACAAUAACUGUAAACGGAGUAUAAUCUGUCAGAAUAUGGAAUCACUAGGUUAUAAACCUGAAGCUGAUGUAAUAAUGUAAAUCAACUGAAAAAAUGAGUGGAACAGGCCAGUGAGGCAAGAGUGGGAAAGUAGCUUUGCUUUUCUGGACGACACCUUGGAUCGUGCAAACCGCAUAGCUCAUCCUGUCCAGACACCGUCCAUGCACAAGCCUGAGCUCAAGGUCAUCUCUGUCCCGUUGUUCCUGAGGAAGAUUAAACCUGCUUUACUCCAGACAUGUCUUUUAUGAGUUCUUCCUCUCUCUAUAAUCAGGUCCUAAGCUACUAAUAAAAAGGAAUCCUCUUUUAAAUCCAGUUCUUUUCAUGAACAAAAGGAACCUAAUACGUAUCUACUAACGAUGAAAUAUUAAUAUGCCUGAAGGAGUCAGCAGCAAGUCUUGCCUAGUGGUAGAAUCUGCUUUCAAGGCUUUAUUGGAAAGGCCCUAUGAGGGCUUGGAUUUUGUGUUACGAGAAUCACUAAUUAAUCGAAACCCUCGAGUGAAGGUCAUUUCUUUUCCCUCUGGCCAAUUCGUGUUGCAGAUACACUGCUCUCAGGGCUGAAAUUGAAUGCUCUCUGGAGAGAAUUAGCCUUAGAUGCCGCAUUGUUAGCACUGUGAUCCGCUUGCUCGCUCCACAGGGCAGCAGGUUGCUCCUUUCCCUCGAAAGCUUCAUCAAUGCUGGUGGCUGUAGGCAUUUAGGGACACCAAGGACGUGUGUCAGAAGCACGUCUUACUCUCCUCUGGGCACUCAGAAGUGAUCCAUACCAUCUUGAGUGGUGACCUGUGGCACACCUGGGGGCUGAAUCCUAGGACUGCUCCAGACGAAUUGUGACCAUAAGUCAGUCGUUCAACCUCUCUGAGCCUCAGCUGUUGUAUCUAUAAAACAGGAAUUAUGAUCCCCUUUCAUGGGCUUAUUUUUAAGAUUGAAAUGAGCUAUGUGUGCAAAGAGUUUGGCACAGAUGAGAGUGGCUGGCUGGUGAAUGGGAGCUCUGUAACGUGGCAAACCCCAAAUGGUUUGCAUUGCGGCCCACUGAACCGCCGUCUGGGAUGGCGUGUGGACGUAGAGGGCGCAGACGGAGAAAUUUGGGAUUUCAAGUGGUCGUCUCUUCAAAUGGCCCCAGAGGUUGGCCAUGGAGACUCGAAUGUCUCCUGUUGGCACGUGGGUUCUCCCUCCAGGUAAGGGCUUGGCUUUGGCUGCUGCCAUGGAGAGGACUCUGAGCGGGGAAGGGCCGAGGGUGAGUACGCUGGCCGGAUGCCCAGGACUCUCGUUGCCCUAGACUGCAUGUUUGUGCCCCCCUCAUUCAUAUGUUGAAAUCCUGACCCCACAGUGUGAUGGUUGGGAGGUGACUGGGUGAUGAGAUGGAGCCUUAUGAGCGGAUUAGCGCCCUUAUGGCCCAGAGCUCAGGGAGCUCCCUUGUCCCUUCCUCCGCGUGAGGACACAGGAGAAGACGGUGGUCUGCAGACCAGGAAGCUGCACUCGCCGGACACCGACUCUGCCGGUGUCUUGAUCUUAGACUUCUUAGCCUCUAGAGCUGUGAGAAGUAAAUUUCUGUUUACAAGCCACCCAGUCUAUAGUACUCUGUUACAGAAGCUGGACCGGACUAACACAGCUGUCCGUGUUAUGAUCCAGUGGUCUGAUUGAAGUUUUUUAAAAAACACUAUUUUUAGAGUAGUUUCAGGUCCCCAGCAAAAUUGAGGGAAAAUAGAUUUCCCAUCCACCCUUGCACCAAUGCACGGGCCUCCCCAUUAUCAGCCUCCUUCCCUGGAUGGUGUAUUUGUUGCAAUUGAUGAACCUUCCUUGACUUCACGGUCACCAAGAGUCCGUGGCUGACCUUAGGGGCCACCCUUAAUGUCGUACAUCCCGUGUGUUUGUACAGGUGCACGUGACGUGUGUCCACCGUUGGAGUGCCUGUGAUUCCCCCGCUCUGCCAGUUCAUCCUUUCCUUCCCAUUAGUCUUACUGGCUUUUCAGCGAGACUUCAGUUGUUUUGCAUGUGGGACAGGACAUGUUUCUAAGUGUAUUCAUCUGUUUUUAUCUACUUACAUCGUAAGAUCGAACGUUAAAAGUAGGUUCAGCUCAGAUACUGAAAGGUAAAUUCUAUAAUCAUGCAUAUUUUGUGGCUAUGGAUUCUUGUCUUGACAAGUCAGCCUUGCGUGGGGGAAUUCUCUUAGAAUUCUCGGCUAUUCUUGCUCUGCAUCCCUGCCACUCCUCACCCUACGUCUCUCCAUUAUUUCAGCGGCUCUGAGGGUGGGAAUCAUGUCUUCCUCCAUUGCUGUACCUUAGCACACAGCGAGUGCUCAGCAGAGGAAGGGUGAUGCCCAAGUACCAGCGCCAAAAACCCCACUUCUUCAUCCAUGCUGUUGCGUAAUCUUCUGCUGACCACAGGCCACCCUCCCCUCGUGCUGCUGCUCCUGCCCAUCUUGAUAGCCAUUCACCUGAGGGAAAUUGGGCAGAGGUCCUGGUCUCCAGAGACAGGCAAAAGUUGCUUCUCACCAAGCCUGGGCAUGUGGCUGGUCAGGGUGGCCUUGCUCCAGUGGCUGAACCCCAUGUGGGGAGGCAUGGGGGCUUAGACACAAAUAACAGCCGUCUAACCCUGCAGGAUUCUCAUCUGGGGUCUUCAGGACAGUAGGAUGCAGUGAGAAGGGGUGUGUCUUGGGGCCCCGGGCCCCACGACUGUGCUGUAUUCUGAAUUUCUAGCCUGGCUCAUUUCAACUCAUUGAAACCUGGGGAAGUGAAGUUUAACAGCUGCGAAUUGGAGUCGGGUUAACUCUACCACCCUUGGUAAUGUGGUUAAAGGAAAAUAAGAGUGACCAGCUUUGAGAGUGUUCUGUAAUUGUUGCUGGUUAGGAGUUCCCGUCAUGGCUCAACAGUAACAAACCCGACUAGUAUCCAUGAAGAUGUGGGUUCGAUCCCUGGCCUCGAUUAGUGGGUUAAGGAUCCGGCGUUGCUGUGGCUUGGUGUAGGCCAGCAGCUGCAGCUCUGGUUGGACCCCUAGCCUGGGACAGCUGUAGCCCUAAAAAGCAAAAAAAAAAAANAAAAAAAAAAAAAAAAAAAAAAAAUAGUUGCUGGUUAAGUGCACAGUGUGUCCCCUUCUUGUCACCUCAAGGGCACCCCUGACUGAGGGUGCUGGCAGCAGAAGGACUAUCAGCAAAGCUAGUCCCCCUAAUACUCAGCACGCGGGCAGCUGCUUGUUGAAAACCCUCUGCACAGGCCCGGCCAUGUGCAUAAAGCGAGACUCAAGUUCUGCAGACCACAGAGGGGUUGUUGAGUGGCAAUUUGCCCAUGUUUCUUUUAAAAUAUUUUUUAAUUUUUUUUUUUUUUUU